rnacentral:rRNA from 1 species
UGGGGAAUAUUGCACAAUGGGCGCAAGCCUGAUGCAGCCAUGCCGCGUGUAUGAAGAAGGCCUUCGGGUUGUAAAGUACUUUCAGCGAGGAGGAAGGCGUUGUGGUUAAUAACCGCAGCGAUUGACGUUACUCGCAGAAGAAGCACCGGCUAACUCCGUGCCAGCAGCCGCGGUAAUACGGAGGGUGCAAGCGUUAAUCGGAAUUACUGGGUGUAAAGCGCACGCAGGCGGUCUGUCAAGUCGGAUGUGAAAUCCCCGGGCUCAACCUGGGAACUGCAUCCGAAACUGGCAGGCUAGAGUCUUGUAGAGGGGGGCAGAAUUCCAGGUGUAGCGGUGAAAUGCGUAGAGAUCUGGAGGAAUACCGGUGGCGAAGGCGGCCCCCUGGACAAAGACUGACGCUCAGGUGCGAAAGCGUGGGGAGCAAACA